rnacentral:rRNA from 1 species
UACAGAGGGGGCAAGCGUUGUUCGGAAUUACUGGGCGUAAAGGGCGCGUAGGCGGCCCGCUAAGUCGAACGUGAAAUCCCCGAGCUCAACUCGGGAACUGCGUCCGAUACUGGCGGGCUUGAAUCCGGGAGAGGGAUGCGGAAUUCCAGGUGUAGCGGUGGAAAUGCGUAGAGUAUCUGGAAGGAACACCGGUGGCGAAGGCGGUGAUCUGGGCCGUACUGUACGCUGAGGAGCGAAAGCCAGGGGAGCAGAGGG